GACGAACGCUGGCGGCGUGCCUAAUACAUGCAAGUCGAGCGAGCGGAACUAACAGAUUUACUUCGGUAAUGACGUUAGGAAAGCGAGCGGCGGAUGGGUGAGUAACACGUGGGGAACCUGCCCCAUAGUCUGGGAUACCACUUGGAAACAGGUGCUAAUACCGGAUAAGAAAGCAGAUCGCAUGAUCAGCUUUUAAAAGGCGGCGUAAGCUGUCGCUAUGGGAUGGCCCCGCGGUGCAUUAGCUAGUUGGUAAGGUAAAGGCUUACCAAGGCGAUGAUGCAUAGCCGAGUUGAGAGACUGAUCGGCCACAUUGGGACUGAGACACGGCCCAAACUCCUACGGGAGGCAGCAGUAGGGAAUCUUCCACAAUGGACGCAAGUCUGGUGGAGCAACGCCGCGUGAGUGAAGAAGGUUUUCGGAUCGUAAAGCUCUGUUGUUGGUGAAGAAGGAUAGAGGUAGUAACUGGCCUUUAUUUGACGGUAAUCAACCAGAAAGUCACGGCUAACUACGUGCCAGCAGCCGCGGUAAUACGCAGGUGGCAAGCGUUGUCCGGAUUUAUUGGGCGUAAAGCGAGCGCAGGCGGAAGAAUAAGUCUGAUGGGAAAGCCCUCGGCUUAACCGAGGAACUGCAUCGGAAACUGUUUUUCUUGAGUGCAGAAGAGGAGAGUGGAACUCCAUGUGUAGCGGUGGAAUGCGUAGAUAUAUGGAAGAACACCAGUGGCGAAGGCGGCUCUCUGGUCUGCAACUGACGCUGAGGCUCGAAAGCAUGGGUAGCGAACAGGAUUAGAUACCCUGGUAGCCCAUGCCGUAAACGAUGAGUGCUAAGUGUUGGGAGGUUUCCGCCUCUCAGUGCUGCAGCUAACGCAUUAAGCACUCCGCCUGGGGAGUACGACCGCAAGGUUGAAACUCAAAGGAAUUGACGGGGGCCCGCACAAGCGGUGGAGCAUGUGGUUUAAUUCGAAGCAACGCGAAGAACCUUACCAGGUCUUGACAUCUAGUGCCAUUUGUAGAGAUACAAAGUUCCCUUCGGGGACGCUAAGACAGGUGGUGCAUGGCUGUCGUCAGCUCGUGUCGUGAGAUGUUGGGUUAAGUCCCGCAACGAGCGCAACCCUUGUUAUUAGUUGCCAGCAUUAAGUUGGGCACUCUAAUGAGACUGCCGGUGACAAACCGGAGGAAGGUGGGGAUGACGUCAAGUCAUCAUGCCCCUUAUGACCUGGGCUACACACGUGCUACAAUGGGCAGUACAACGAGAAGCGAGCCUGCGAAGGCAAGCGAAUCUCUGAAAGCUGUUCUCAGUUCGGACUGCAGUCUGCAACUCGACUGCACGAAGCUGGAAUCGCUAGUAAUCGCGGAUCAGCACGCCGCGGUGAAUACGUUCCCGGGCCU
rnacentral:rRNA from 1 species